UGCGCGGAGUACGAGAUUCAUCGUGUCAACAAAUGUGUGGAUGACACUGACAGAAAAAUGAGCAUUUCUAGUCAGGAAGAUGAAGCGAGCAGUGUCGGUAUUACUGAGCUGUCUAUGCUUUGCUCUCUGUCAAGAUGACGAACCAGAUUAUGACAACAUUCUGUAUGGUGGCAUCUGGCGAUUGCCAUCUCCAAGUCCGACUCUUGGAGAGGAGGAUGUCUCAAAAGCUGUUCAGACAGCCAUAGCAUUUCUGGACCAAAGAAAAACUCAUAACAUAAGGAAAUCUGAUGGAGGUCUACAUCCAUACAGCGUUCGAAACAUUCUCAAAAUGAAACUUGCAUUUACAAGUGACGACCGAGAACCCUACCUUUACAGUGUCAUGUCCCAGGAAGACAAACCAAAGCCAAUGUCGACAUUGCUUGUGUUUGGAACCACAUACAUAUUCCAAAUUACUUGGACGUCCAAAGAUUUUAUUUUCAAACACAAUUUUAUUGUGACAAUGUAUCCUAAAGGGAAUUUUUACAUAUUUGCUCACACAUCCAUGAAUGAGGAGUUUUCUCCUCAUCAGAUGAACAAUCAAACCACAGCAGCACAGGAGGAGUCUAACUCAGCAGUAUGUUCAGUGUUGUUUAGUGAUGGAUCUUCGGAUCCUGCUCUGUUUUCUACAAGAUCCUGCACACUGCGGAGGGCGGACGUUCUGAAGGAUCUACAUUCCUGUGAUAACAGGCUCCAGGGGAGCUUGUAUACAGACAUUGGUGCUCAGACUGUCUCAAAGUCCUGUGUUAAAAGAUCUGAUAUCUAUUUAAAUUUUACAGUAAUGACUUACAAUACAUGGAACUUUAACUCUAGGCCUGAGAAGGGGAGCCAUUAUUAUGUGGACAGGAUCAAAAGGCUUGGACAGGUGAUAAAUGACUACAAGCCAGACAUCAUAGCAUUCCAGGAGGUGAGGUUUGAAUACCAGAAAGGUGGAUCCCUGGGACCAAAUCAAGCUCAACACCUUGCAGACAUGCUUCAGGGGUACCAGUUUGUGUACCAGCCGGCACAGCUCCAGCCAAACAGUGUGAGGGAUGGACGGACAGAAGAGGGUGUGGCUGUCUUCUCGCGCUACCCCAUCAUAUCUCACCACUCACUGCCUCUCUUCAGGAAUCAAAGUAACAGUGCCGACCUUCAUCAGAGAAUGUGUCAGCAUGUCGAGGUUCAACUUCCGAAUCAGAAAACUGUCCAUAUCUUCAACACGCACCUGUCUUUUGAGUCAUGAAGCCAGGAGCAGUCAGUGAGGGAAAUGUGGAACUACAUGGGCAAGUUUGAGGAGCAGCCAUUUUGACAGGGGACUUAAAUGCUGAACCACAAGAGAAUGCAAUAAGGUACCUGCAAGAAAAACAUCUCUGAUAGACACAUGGCAGCAUCUCCAUGGCAAUGGAGGAGGAUACACAUUCAACACUUUAAAUAAGGAUCUCACAAAAGGAUUGAUUACAUCUUUUUGAGAAGCCAGAAAAAUAUCCACAUCUUGGACACAGAAGUGCUAGACGAUGGAAAGAGGGGAGAGAAGGCUGCCUCCGACCAUGUUCCACUUGUUGCAAACUUUGGUUUUUCAUGAAUCGAAAUAAAACAAAUAAUAAAUGAAA
rnacentral:misc_RNA from 1 species